AAAUAGCACUUUAGGGGGUUUUGACACUGGGGCAGUGGUAAGAAUAAGAAAAACUGAUGACAAAUGUAAAUUUCACUGCUUUGGGGAACACGUCUGUAUCUUCCAUCUCGUUUCACUUCUGUGCAGUGAUCUGUUGCCCUUGCUCUUGCCCUGUGUGUGCUGUUGCUUCACGGGGGCACGCCAGCUGGCCUACCUUGCUUCAUAUCCCCUGGGACCCUGAGUGUGGUCAAACCCUUCAUCCACAUUCCUCGUACUCAGGACAACUUUGCCUGUUUUUCUUCUAUCUCAUUUGCCCAUCUGAGUUCACUGCCUCUACUUCACAACUGCCCAUUCACUCCUUAAUCUCUUGCUAUAUGAUUUUUGUCCCU
rnacentral:lncRNA from 1 species